UCCCCUUCCCUGAAAUCCCGACUCUCUUCCUUCGUGUGCAUCGCCGUCGGGCCCCUCCACCUUCUUCCACCUUGCCGCUCCACUCCACGAACCCCAACCACCUGCAGCCGCCGGCCUACCCACACCUCCGUUUACCCACCUUCCAUGGCGCGCCGUCCUGGCCCUCUUCCAUCUCCGGGAGUCGCCUCGGGCCCCGCCUACCGCCGCGUGACACCCUGCCCGCCCCUGACCGCCGGAAACCACGCGCACCUCGCCGUCCCUCGCGUGCUAGCCCGCCCUUCGCCGUGCAGCGGACCCUGCCACCGUGCAGAUCACGCCGCCCCCGCAAACCUCAUUGCCGAUCCAGUCGAGGGGGCGGCCGGAUCCAGCUGGCCAUGACCCCCGGCAAGGCAUGGGAAGCGACGUGCACGGGGCGGCCUCCUGCUCCCGGCCGAUGUAGUCGUUGUCUGCACCGCCGUCCUAUAGUGCGAUGGGGAUCCACCGUGCCGCUCAUGACGUUCGGCAUCGCCACCUCCGGCCGUUCAAGACGGAGCUCCUGGAUGGUGCUGGCCUGGCUCCAUGCUUCGGACCUGGAGAGGAGGUGGCUGGCUCACACCGGAUGGCUUCGCAUCAAUCCAACUACACUGCUAGUCCCCGUUCAGGGAUCCUGAAGAAAAUACAUGUGGUUUUGGCAUGUCUCACAUCCUACAGCAACGAUCCCCUGCAAGCCCUGAGCCGCCGGUGUUCCGUCCACAAAUCUGCGAGGGAUGUAAAAGCGGCUGUGGCAUCUUGUCAGCUGCCCAUCAAAUGUAAGCCUAUUAUGUUGUCCUUCAGUAGCAGUUCGACAAAAAAACUGCAGCAAUUCUACAUGGGAAACUAUGAUAUUUCAGGUCUGCUACUAUGUACGUUGCUUGUUGGUAUGCCAAUGAGUACAUACAUUUUGUGUUGGUUCUUUUCCCCUUUGGCUUUCUCUGCCAUGGAUGUGUGCAUGCGUGCUAUGUGCGUGAGUGCGCUACAUCAAUUUGUGUAAAAGAAGCAUUUUGAAUUGCGCAAAAUUAGUUGAUGGUUGUUGAAGUUCAGACAUUUGUAAUGGCGACGUUAUGUAAUUAUAGAAUGAGAAGUAGUGCGUGCCGUAUUGUGCC